rnacentral:rRNA from 1 species
UCCUACGGGGGGCAGCAGUAGGGAAUAUUGCACAAUGGGCGCAAGCCUGAUGCAGCAACGCCGCGUGCGCGAUGAAGGCCUUCGGGUCGUAAAGCGCUUUUCGGGGAGAUGAGGAAGGACAGUAUCCCCGGAAUAAGUCUCGGCUAACUACGUGCCAGCAGCCGCGGUAAAACGUAGGAGGCAAGCGUUAUCCGAAUUUACUGGGCGUAAAGCGUGUGCAGGCGGCUCGAUAAGUUGGAUGUGAAAUCUCCUGGCUCAACUGGGAGAGGUCGUUCAAGACUGUCGGGCUCGAGGGCGGUAGAGGGAGGUGGAAUUCCGGGUGUAGUGGUGAAAUGCGUAGAUAUCCGGAGGAACACCUGUGGCGAAAGCGGCCUCCUGGACCGUACCUGACGCUCAGACACGAAAGCUAGGGGAGCGAACGGGAUUAGAUACCCGCGUAGUCCA